AAAGCCUGAUCCAGCCAUGCCGCGUGUGUGAAGAAGGUCUUCGGAUUGUAAAGCACUUUAAGUUGGGAGGAAGGGCUGCAAGUUAAUACCUUGUAGUUUUGACGUUACCAGCAGCAUAAGCACCGGCUAACUCCGUGCCAGCAGCCGCGGUAAUACGGAGGGUGCAAGCGUUACUCGGAAUCACUGGGCGUAAAGAGCACGUAGGCGGCCUUGCAAGUCAGAUUGUGAAAUCCAACGGCUUAACCGUUGAACUGCAUUUGAAACUGCAAGGCUAGAGUAUGGGAGAGGUAGGUGGAAUUCUCGGUGUAGGGGUAAAAUCCGUAGAGAUCGAGAGGAAUACUCAUUGCGAAGGCGACCUGCUGGAACAUUACUGAUGCUGAGGUGCGAAAGCGUGGGGAGCAAACA
rnacentral:rRNA from 1 species